ACGGAGGGUGCGAGCGCCCCCCUGCCUCCCUCCCCCCCCCUCUCCCUUCUUCUUUUUCUUCCUUCGUCUUUUAAAGAGCGCGGCUCAACCGGGGAACUGCAUUCGAUACUGCGAUGCUUGAGUGCCGGAGAGGGUGGCGGAAUUCCAGGUGUAGGAGUGAAAGCCGUAGAUAUCUGGAGGAACACCAGUGGCGAAGGCGGCCACCUGGCCGGCAACUGACGCUGAGGUGCGAAAGCGUGGGGAUCAAACAG
rnacentral:rRNA from 1 species